CCACAAAUGAGGAUAUUCAUUUAAAAUUUUGAUAGAACAGUAGCAGUAUAAUGUCCUCGUAAGUGGAUAUCAGGCCCAUGUAGAGCAAAAUUGAGUAUUUUGGUCAAAAUAACCAAAAAUGUGAUGUCCACAUAUGUGGACGGCAGGUCCUAGGAGGUUAAUGCAGAAACCAGAAAAACCUGUUUAGAGCGAACGUCUUCACGGCGACAAGAUGGGUACCGGUGUUCGUACGUCGCUCUUCAUGAUUCUUUUCCUCUGUUAUUUCGCGUUUGCGUCAACAGGAUAAAAGCAAAGCAGCAGCUACUUUGGUGUGGGAUUCCACAGCUGUGUUACAGAGAUGGAGGAAGAGUUACAGGAACUCAGGGACUUGAUCGCGCAGCUGAAAGCAGACAAUGAGAGGCUGCGUCAGGAGAGGGCUGUUGAGUCAGAUCACUUUGGACGGACCAUUAUUCUGCACUGUCGAGCUCCAAACAACAACUUCACUCUUGUACAGUGGAGCAGAGCUGGUCUGGAGCCAGAACAUGUUGCUGUUUACAAGGGUGGACAGUUCCUUCCAGAUCACCAGCAUCCAUCUUUUAAGAACCGGGUGGAUCUGCAGGACAGACAGAUGAAGGAUGGAGACGUAUCUUUGAUUCUGAAUAAUGCGACGAGUGCUGAUAGUGGAAAAUAUGAGUGUCGUGUGUUCAACAGAGGAACAGUGCGCAGGAGGAGAACCCUGUCAAGGAUUCCUCCCAUCAACACCACCUACCUGAGUGUUGUUGAUCCUCCAGGUCAAACAGGCGGAGACACAGAGGAUGGAGGAUGGAGGGAAGGAGGAUGGAGGGAAAGAGGAUGGAUCUGUUGGACUGAUAGUUGGUCUUCCAGUUGCUGUUGUUGUUGUUGCUUUUGUUGGUGUCGUGAUCUACAGAAAAUGUAAACAACAGAAGCAGGGUUCUUUCCAGCCUCCAGCUCAACAGCAGCAUGUUUGUAAUGUUUCUGUUUUUUUCCGGAUGAUCUGAGUCUGCGUCCACACGUACACGGGUAUUUUUGACUCAGAUUUUUCUUUUUCUUUUUUUUAAAAAUCCCGUCCACACAUGCGUUUUUUAAAAAUGUGAACGCCAAAAACGAAGUCAAACGCUGUCAAGAACCUGCCACGUGUUGCCACAUCCUAGCCAUGUAGAAAUGUUGGCCAAUCAGAAGUCUAGAAGCCUUCGAGCGAAAGAGUAAGCUGGGUUUCAUGCAAACUUUAAGAACUUUAAGUUUUUGUGUUUUUUCUGGGAAGGCAGCUAAUUUUGUGUUACUUUUCAAGUGCCUUCAUCAUUUCAAAUGUUAAUAACCAAAGACAAUAUUUUGGCUGGUGUAGACUUACAACUUAGCAAAGAACAAAUGCAUAAAUUUAAUUAAACAAAAAUUUAAUUUAUUCAAAACCGACGUUGGUGUCAGGAUUUGGUUGUGAGAGCGACACUGAGCAUUCAUGGUACAGUUUAGAAUAUCCUGAAAUUACAUUUUUAUAACAUCUAACAUUUUGUAUUAAGCAUCUUUGUAAACUUAGACUAAAUAUUCAUCACAAAUAUGUAUAUUUGGUGCUUAAAGAAAAUAUUUAGUGGUUUUCAUGGAAGUGAGACAGGAGCAAACUGAAAUGUCACAUGUGCUUUCACAAAUUUCUUCAAUUGUUAUUUUUAUUUUUUUGGUGCGAAGCAUCAAUAAACAGUCCAGCAGAUGUUUUCAGGUUUUAUGUUUAAACAUCCAUUUAUUGUUGUUGUUGUUGUUGUUGUUGUUGUUUAAGUUGUAUAAAAAUGAUCCAAAGUACACGUUGUGCCUUUAGCUCCUCACUGACUCCUCAACAAUCUGAACUGUAAGCCUUUAUAUUUAUGUGAAAAGAGAAAGUUGCUACUUUUGCAUGUUAUAUCAAACUACCUG
ensembl:lncRNA